rnacentral:rRNA from 1 species
AGCGAACGCUGGCGGCAGGCCUAACACAUGCAAGUCGAACGAACCUUUCGGGGUUAGUGGCGGACGGGUGAGUAACACGUGGGAACGUGCCUUUAGGUUCGGAAUAACUCAGGGAAACUUGUGCUAAUACCGAAUGUGCCCUUCGGGGGAAAGAUUUAUCGCCUUUAGAGCGGCCCGCGUCUGAUUAGCUAGUUGGUUGAGGUAAUGGCUCACCAAGGCGACGAUCAGUUGCUGGUCUGAGAGGAUGAUCAGCCACAUUGGGACUGAGACACGGCCCAAACUCCUACGGGAGGCAGCAGUGGGGAAUCUUGCGCAAUGGGCGAAAGCCUGACGCAGCCAUGCCGCGUGAAUGAUGAAGGUCUUAGGAUUGUAAAAUUCUUUCACCGGGGACGAUAAUGACGGUACCCGGAGAAGAAGCCCCGGCUAACUUCGUG